rnacentral:lncRNA from 1 species
GGAUCAUGUGAAAAAAGAGUUGGAAUGAGUGAGGAGAAAUUUAGGUGAACGUAUGAAGAGUCAGGAAUUAAUGGGAAGCACUGGGUUUUGGAAAAGAGUUAUGGGAGUCGACUCUGAAAAUAUAAAAUUGUGAAAUGAUGUAGUGUCCAUUUAGGCUUUACCUAAUUGAGCUUGACUUGACCUGCAUGCAUUAAACUUAAUCAAUAAAUAAUCAAAUCAAACUUGAAUUACCUUUGAUAAUUCAUUAAAAUGCACUGGUGAAGGUAAUAUAUUUUUUAGUUGAAUUUACAAAAUAUGUGAAUUAAAAUAAUGAUAAGUGCUAUGAAUAAGAUAUUAAUUUAUGCAUUAUUUAGCACUUAUCAU